rnacentral:rRNA from 14 species
UGUAGGGGAAGCCCUGCGGGAAAAUAGCUCGGUGCCAGGAUGAUAAA